UUCAAUGUUUGUAUUUACGUGACGCUGAUUUUUCAGAAUUGCAAUGGUCAACAGCAGAUCACAAUUUAAGCUCUGGGAAUUUCUGGCUAUUGAUAACAUGAAUUGAUUUCGGCACAGAACAUUGAGUUUUAGAGGCCCUCGAACACCCCAGUUCGCGAUGGAGAAACGCCGACGCUUCAUGCGGGCGUGAAGCUUGUCGUGAGCGGCCACAGAGACUUGACGGGUCGCGGCAUAUGUAGAGAUUACAGGAAGUGCAAGACCUUUUACACAUGUUUAAGGAAAAGACGGAAAAUUCUGGCAUGGUGGCCGCUAAUGGGAGACGUCACCUCAUUCCUAUACGGACAUCAGAGAGCGUGAAACACUCAACAGGAAAAUCUGCAAAGGGCACCUGAGAAUGGGCGUGAGAAAGGGGCUGCUCCUGCUUUGCCCUCUUUACAACACGAAAAUGCUGAGGGUGAUUUUUUCCAUCAUGAUGAAAGAAGGAAACGGAUGAAAUGUUUUGAUAUGAAAAGAAAUUUUCCAGCUCCCUGUGCUCCCGCAGUGGGGCAAGUGCUUUUAUUUAAGAGAAGCAGGAGCAUUCGCUGGGAAGGCGGUGGGUCGAGGAGGAGGAGCGGGUACAGGGCGAGGGCACCCCCCCACCUCCCCUGCCCACCCCAGCCCGGGCAGGAACCGGCAGGGAGCACACAGCAACGCCUCGUUAUGGCGUGCCCAUCUUGUAUUUACUUUAGAAAUUGCUUCAUGUUAAUUAAAUAUGUUACCUUUUAAAAUCUGCCCUCGCCACAUUGAAAUGCUUCAGUGUUUGUGAUGAGCUCUAAAUGAAUGGGGGAGAAAUGUUUGUAUUCAAGGCUUUUAUUUGUUUUUUGGCAAAAUUCCUUGAAUAAAUUAAUAGAUUAUAUCAUUA